AGAGUUUGAUCCUGGCUCACGAUUGAACGCUAGCGGGAUGCUUUACACAUGCAAGUCGAACGGCAGCGCGAGAGAGCUUGCUCUCUUGGCGGCGAGUGGCGGACGGGUGAGUAAUAUAUCGGAACGUGCCCAGUAGCGGGGGAUAACUACUCGAAAGAGUGGCUAAUACCGCAUACGCCCUACGGGGGAAAGGGGGGGAUCGCAAGACCUCUCACUAUUGGAGCGGCCGAUAUCGGAUUAGCUAGUUGGUGGGGUAAAGGCUCACCAAGGCAACGAUCCGUAGCUGGUUUGAGAGGACGACCAGCCACACUGGGACUGAGACACGGCCCAGACUCCUACGGGAGGCAGCAGUGGGGAAUUUUGGACAAUGGGGGAAACCCUGAUCCAGCCAUCCCGCGUGUAUGAUGAAGGCCUUCGGGUUGUAAAGUACUUUUGGCAGAGAAGAAAAGGUAUCCCCUAAUACGGGAUACUGCUGACGGUAUUUGCAGAAUAAGCACCGGCUAACUACGUGCCAGCAGCCGCGGUAAUACGUAGGGUGCAAGCGUUAAUCGGAAUUACUGGGCGUAAAGCGUGUGUAGGCGGUUCGGAAAGAAAGAUGUGAAAUCCCAGGGCUCAACCUUGGAACUGCAUUUUUAACUGCCGAGCUAGAGUAUGUCAGAGGGGGGUAGAAUUCCACGUGUAGCAGUGAAAUGCGUAGAUAUGUGGAGGAAUACCGAUGGCGAAGGCAGCCCCCUGGGAUAAUACUGACGCUCAGACACGAAAGCGUGGGGAGCAAACAGGAUUAGAUACCCUGUAGUCCACGCCCUAAACGAUGUCAGCUAGCUGUUGGGGCCGUUAGGCCUUAGUAGCGCAGCUAACUCGUGAAGUUGACCGCCUGGGGAGUACGGUCGCAGAUUAAAACUCAAAGGAAUUGACGGGGACCCGCACAAGCGGUGGAUGAUGUGGAUUAAUUCGAUGCAACGCGAAAAACCUUACCUACCCUUGACAUGUCUGGAAAGCCGAAGAGAUUUGGCCGUGCUCGCAAGAGAACCGGAACACAGGUGCUGCAUGGCUGUCGUCAGCUCGUGUCGUGGGAUGUUGGGUUAAGUCCCGCAACGAGCGCAACCCUUGUCAUUAGUUGCUACGCAAGAGCACUCUAAUGAGACUGCCGGUGACAAACCGGAGGAAGGUGGGGAUGACGUCAAGUCCUCAUGGCCCUUAUGGGUAGGGCUUCACACGUCAUACAAUGGUCGGGACAGAGGGUCGCCAACCCGCGAGGGGGAGCCAAUCUCAGAAACCCGAUCGUAGUCCGGAUCGCAGUCUGCAACUCGACUGCGUGAAGUCGGAAUCGCUAGUAAUCGCGGAUCAGAAUGUCGCGGUGAAUACGUUCCCGGGUCUUGUACACACCGCCCGUCACACCAUGGGAGUGGGUUUCACCAGAAGUAGGUAGCCUAACCGUAAGGAGGGCGCUUACCACGGUGGGAUUCAUGACUGGGGUGAAGUCGUAACAAGGUAGCCGUAUCGGAAGGUGCGGCUGGAUCACCUCCUU
rnacentral:rRNA from 2 species